AUGGGAAGUAAAGCACCGUCGUGCCCA
rnacentral:sRNA from 1 species